rnacentral:lncRNA from 12 species
UUUGAAUGUAGUUGAACUACAUGAAAGUGAUUUCAGAAGACUGCGGGAGAAACAGUUAUAAUCACACGCCUCAUCUCAAACAGCACCUGAUGGAGAAUACCUGUCAC